AUUAGUGGCGAACGGGUGAGUAACACGUGAGUAACCUGCCCCUGACUCUGGGAUAAGCGUUGGAAACGACGUCUAAUACUGGAUAUGAUCACUGGCCGCAUGGUCUGGUGGUGGAAAGAUUUUUGGUUGGGGAUGGACUCGCGGCCUAUCAGCUUGUUGGUGAGGUAAUGGCUCACCAAGGCGACGACGGGUAGCCGGCCUGAGAGGGUGACCGGCCACACUGGGACUGAGACACGGCCCAG
rnacentral:rRNA from 1 species